GAUGAACGCUGGCGGCGUGCCUAAUACAUGCAAGUCGAGCGAACGGAUGAGAAGCUUGCUUCUCUGAUGUUAGCGGCGGACGGGUGAGUAACACGUGGAUAACCUACCUAUAAGACUGGGAUAACUUCGGGAAACCGGAGCUAAUACCGGUUAAUAUUUUGAACCGCAUGGUUCAAAAGUGAAAGACGGUCUUGCUGUCACUUAUAGAUGGAUCCGCGCUGCAUUAGCUAGUUGGUAAGGUAACGGCUUACCAAGGCAACGAUGCAUAGCCGACCUGAGAGGGUGAUCGGCCACACUGGAACUGAGACACGGUCCAGACUCCUACGGGAGGCAGCAGUAGGGAAUCUUCCGCAAUGGGCGAAAGCCUGACGGAGCAACGCCGCGUGAGUGAUGAAGGUCUUCGGAUCGUAAAACUCUGUUAUUAGGGAAGAACAUAUGUGUAAGUAACUGUGCACAUCUUGACGGUACCUAAUCAGAAAGCCACGGCUAACUACGUG
rnacentral:rRNA from 1 species